rnacentral:rRNA from 1 species
CCUACGGGCGGCAGCAGUGGGGAAUAUUGCACAAUGGGGGAAACCCUGAUGCAGCGACGCCGCGUGAGUGAAGAAGUAUUUCGGUAUGUAAAGCUCUAUCAGCAGGGAAGAAAAUGACGGUACCUGAUUCAGAAGCCCCGGCUAACUACGUGCCAGCAGCCGCGGUAAUACGUAGGGGGCAAGCGUUAUCCGGAUUUACUGGGUGUAAAGGGAACGUAGACGGCAGCACAAGUCUGGAGUGAAAUGCCGGGGCUUAACCCCGGAACUGCUUUGGAAACUGUGCAGCUAGAGUGCAGGAGAGGUAAGUGGAAUGCGUAGUGUAGCGGUGAAAUGCGUAGAUAUUAGGCGGAACACCAGUGGCGAAGGCGGCUUACUGGACUGUAACUGACGUUGAGGCUCGAAAGCGUGGGGAGCAAACAGGAUUAGAUACCCCUGUAGUC